GCCAGGUGUGGUGAUGCAUGCCUGUAAUCCCUGCUUGUUGGGAGGCUGAGGCAGGAGGAUCAUAAUUAUAAGGACAGCCUCAGCAACAUAGCAAGACCCAGUCUCAA
rnacentral:sRNA from 1 species